CAAUCUGUUAAUUAACGCACGAAAGGCUAUUGACAAGUCUUUUGCUGGUGAAGCCGAGGAUGUACCAGUAUUAUCAACCAGCGUUGCAUAUGGUGUCUACAUGGCUGUUUCGAGCAACCUUAGGUACCAAAUCCUUGCUGGAGUUAUUGAACAACGAAUUUUAGAACCCUUGCUACACAAUAAU